rnacentral:rRNA from 1 species
UACAGAGACUGCAAGCGUUAUUCGGAUUCACUGGGCGUAAAGGGUGCGCAGGCGGCCGUGUGUGUCAGGUGUGAAAUCCCGGGGCUUAACCCCGGAACUGCGCCUGAAACUACACGGCUAGAGUAUUGGAGAGGGUAGCGGAAUUCACGGUGUAGCAGUGAAAUGCGUAGAUAUCGUGAGGAACACCAGAGGCGAAGGCGGCUACCUGGACAAUUACUGACGCUCAGGCACGAAAGCGUGGGGAGCAAACAGG